rnacentral:rRNA from 1 species
AGUGAACGCUGGCGGUAGGCCUAACACAUGCAAGUCGAACGGCAGCACAGUAAGAGCUUGUUCUUACGGGUGGCGAGUGGCGGACGGGUGAGGAAUACAUCGGAAUCUACUUUUUCGUGGGGGAUAACGUAGGGAAACUUACGCUAAUACCGCAUACGACCUACGGGUGAAAGCAGGGGAUCUUCGGACCUUGCGCGAUUGAAUGAGCCGAUGUCGGAUUAGCUAGUUGGCGGGGUAAAGGCCCACCAAGGCGACGAUCCGUAGCUGGUCUGAGAGGAUGAUCACCCCCCCUGAACCUGGGACCCGUUCCAGCCUCCUACGGAGGGCAGCGGGGGGGAAUAUUGGCCAAUGGGCGCAAGCCUGAUCCAGCCAUCCCGCGUGGGGAAGAAGGCCUUCGGGUUGUAAAGCCCUUUUGUUGGGAAAGAAAAGCAGCAGGUUAAUACCCCGCUGUUCUGACGGUACCCAAAGAAUAAGCACCGGCUAACUUCGUG